rnacentral:rRNA from 1 species
AUGAACGCUGGCGGCGUGCCUAACACAUGCAAGUCGAGCGUGAUUCUAGUGAGUGGAGACUUCGGUCAAAGCGAGCUAGAUGAAAGCGGCGGACGGGUGAGUAACGCGUGGGCAACCUGCCCCAUACACGGGAAUAGCCACUGGAAACGGUGAUUAAUACCCGAUAAGACCACGACACCUCAUGGUGAUGUGGCCAAAGAUUUAUCGGUAUGGGAUGGGCCCGCGUCUGAUUAGCUAGUUGGUGAGGUAACGGCUCACCAAGGCGACGAUCAGUAACCGACCUGAGAGGGCGGACGGUCACACUGGAACUGAGACACGGUCCAGACUCCUACGGGAGGCAGCAGUGGGGAAUAUUGCACAAUGGGCGCAAGCCUGAUGCAGCAACGCCGCGUGAGUGAAGAAGGCCUUCGGGUCGUAAAGCUCUGUCCUGUGGGACGAAACAAAUGACGGUACCACAGGAGGAAGCCCCGGCUAACUACGU